rnacentral:rRNA from 1 species
AGAGUUCGAUCCUGGCUCAGGAUGAACGCUGGCGGCGCGCCUAACACAUGCAAGUCGAACGGCACCUAUCUUCGGAUAGAAGCGAGUGGCGAACGGCUGAGUAACACGUGGAGAACCUGCCCCCUCCCCCGGGAUAGCCGCCCGAAAGGACGGGUAAUACCGGAUACCCCGGGGUGCCGCAUGGCACCCCGGCUAAAGCCCCGACGGGAGGGGAUGGCUCCGCGGCCCAUCAGGUAGACGGCGGGGUGACGGCCCACCGUGCCGACAACGGGUAGCCGGGUUGAGAGACCGACCGGCCAGAUUGGGACUGAGACACGGCCCAGACUCCUACGGGAGGCAGCAGUGGGGAAUCUUGCGCAAUGGGGGGAACCCUGACGCAGCGACGCCGCGUGCGGGACGGAGGCCUUCGGGUCGUAAACCGCUUUCAGCAGGGAAGAGUCAAGACUGUACCUGCAGAAGAAGCCCCGGCUAACUACGUGCCAGCAGCCGCGGUAAUACGUAGGGGGCGAGCGUUAUCCGGAUUCAUUGGGCGUAAAGCGCGCGUAGGCGGCCCGGCAGGCCGGGGGUCGAAGCGGGGGGCUCAACCCCCCGAAGCCCCCGGAACCUCCGCGGCUUGGGUCCGGUAGGGGAGGGUGGAACACCCGGUGUAGCGGUGGAAUGCGCAGAUAUCGGGUGGAACACCGGUGGCGAAGGCGGCCCUCUGGGCCGAGACCGACGCUGAGGCGCGAAAGCUGGGGGAGCGAACAGGAUUAGAUACCCUGGUAGUCCCAGCCGUAAACGAUGGACGCUAGGUGUGGGGGGACGAUCCCCCCGUGCCGCAGCCAACGCAUUAAGCGUCCCGCCUGGGGAGUACGGCCGCAAGGCU